rnacentral:rRNA from 1 species
UGAGGAAUAUUGGUCAAUGGGCGAAAGCCUGACCCAGCAACGCCGCGUGAGGGAAGAAGGUUUUCGGAUUGUAAACCUCUGUCCUAAAGUGACGAAGGAAGUGACGGUAGCUUAGGAGGAAGCCCCGGCUAACUACGUGCCAGCAGCCGCGGUAAUACGUAGGGGGCGAGCGUUGUCCGGAAUGACUGGGCGUAAAGGGCGUGUAGGCGGCCGAUUAAGUAUGGAGUGAAAUUCCAGCUUUCAAGGUUGGACUUGCUUUGUAGACUGGUUGGCUUGAGUGCGGAAGAGGUAAGUGGAAUUCCCAGUGUAGCGGUGAAAUGCGUAGAGAUUGGGAGGAACACCAGUGGCGAAGGCGACUUACUGGGCCGUAACUGACGCUGAGGCGCGAAAGCGUGGGGAGCGAACAGGAUUAGAUACCC